rnacentral:misc_RNA from 1 species
AACGCACAUUGCGCCCCUUGGUAUUCCAUGGGGCAUGCCUGUUCGAGCGUCAUUUGUACCCUCAAGCUCUGCUUGGUGUUGGGUGUUUGUCCCCUCUUUUGCAUGGGACUCGCCUCAAAGCAAUUGGCAGCCGGCGUAUUGGCCUGGGAGCGCAGCACAUUUUGCGAUCUCUGUCAAGAUACGACAGCGUCCAUCAAGUCUUUUUAUCACUUUUGACCUCGGAUCAGGUAGGGAUACCCGCUGAACUUAA